UGGGGAAUAUUGCACAAUGGGCGAAAGCCUGAUGCAGCAACGCCGCGUGCGGGAUGACGGCCUUCGGGUUGUAAACCGCUUUCAGCAGGGACGAAGGGUUUCUGACGGUACCUGCAGAAGAAGCACCGGCUAACUACGUGCCAGCAGCCGCGGUGAUACGUAGGGUGCGAGCGUUGUCCGGAAUUAUUGGGCGUAAAGAGCUCGUAGGCGGUCUGUCACGUCGGAAGUGAAAACGCAGGGCUUAACCCUGAGCCUGCUUUCGAUACGGGCAGACUAGAGGAAGGUAGGGGAGAACGGAACUCCUGGUGGAGCGGUGGAAUGCGCAGAUAUCAGGAAGAACACCGGUGGCGAAGGCGGUUCUCUGGACCUUUCCUGACGCUGAGGAGCGAAAGCGUGGGGAGCAAACA
rnacentral:rRNA from 1 species